AGAGUUUGAUCCUGGCUCAGAUUGAACGCUGGCGGCAUCCUUACACAUGCAAGUCGUACGCGAAAGGGGGCAACCCCGAGUAGAGUGCGAACGGGUGAGCAAUACAUCGGAACGUGUCCUGUAGCGGGGGACAACCUCGAGAAAUCGAGGCUAAUACCGCAUACGAUCUACGGAUGAAAGUGGGGGACCGCAAGGCCCCACACUAUAGGAGCGGCCGAUGCCGGAUUAGCUAGUUGGUGGGGUAACGGCCUACCAAGGCGACGAUUCGUAGCUGGUUUGAGAGAACGACCAGCCACACUGGGACUGAGACACGGCCCAGACUCCUACGGGAGGCAGCAGUGGGGAAUUUUGGACAAUGGGCGAAAGCCUGAUCCAGCCAUGCCGCGUGAGUGAAGAAGGCCUUCGGGUUGUAAAGCUCUUUCGGCGGGGACGAAAUAGCGCGGGGUAAUAUCCCGCGUCGAUGACGGUACCCGAAGAAGAAGGACCGGCUAACUACGUGCCAGCAGCCGCGGUAAUACGUAGGGUCCAAGCGUUAAUCGGAAUUACUGGGCGUAAAGCGUGCGUAGGCGGUCUCGCAAGUCCGAUGUGAAAUCCCCGAGCUUAACUUGGGAACUGCGUUGGAAACUAUGAGGCUAGAGUGCGGCAGAGGGGGGUGGAAUUCCAGGUGUAGCAGUGAAAUGCGUAGAGAUCUGGAGGAACCCGAUGGCGAAGGCACCCCCUGGGCCAGCACUGACGCUGAUACACGAAAGCGUGGGGAGCAAACAGGAUUAGAUACCCUAGUAGUCC
rnacentral:rRNA from 1 species